rnacentral:rRNA from 1 species
GUGCACCAGUCGAGAAACCUCCGCAGUACACGAAAGUGUGACGGGGCCAUCCCGAGUGCCGUCCGCUGAGGACGGCUUUUCCCCAGUGUACACAGCUGGGGGAAUAAGGAGAGGGCAAGCCUGGUGUCAGCCGCCGCGGUAAUACCAGCUCUCCGAGUGGUGGGGACGCUUAUUGGGCCUAAAGCAUCCGUAGCCGGCUGGGCAAGUCCUCCGUUAAAUCCAACGAUUCAAUCGUUGGGCUGCGGGGGAUACUGUCCAGCUUGGGGGCGGGAGAGGCCGACGGUAUUCCCGGGGUAGGGGUGAAAUCCUAUAAUCCCGGGAGGACCACCAGUGGCGAAGGCUGUCGGCUAGAACGCGCCCGACGGUGAGGGAUGAAAAGCUGGGGGAGCGAACCGGAUUAGAUACCCCGUAGU